AAAAAAAAAAAAGUAUAGAAAUCACCACUCUCUCAUAAUUCUUUCUCAGUAGAGACCAGCGUGGGUUUAGGGCUCCGCUCCUGCCUUCAGCGGAACCUCCUCUCAUCCCACACGUAUCGCUUUCCUGCUGGCACCUUGCGGAAAAACAGGCUGUUCCCUCGGCUCAUGUUGCCUUCCUUGUGCAGCUGGCUCCAGCAGUCCAGCCAGGAGGAGUAGGUGGGUGCGUAGGGGAGCAGGCCCCCAGCCAGCCCGCAGUUAUUGACAGCCAUCAGGUUGGAGACCAGCACAAAGGGGUAUGUCAGCAUGCUGGCGAAGAACCCGGUGACUGCCUGCGAGUAGCUCUUCAUCUCUGUCAUAGAGACCCCGUUCUCCAGUGCAUAUGUGUUGAUGAGGUAGGCCAGCAUGUUGCAGAGCCAGAGUGAGAGGAUGUCUCCGAGGAGCCGGGGAACAAGGCCGGCGAAGAACCCCAGGAUGCCUUCUUCUCGGUAAAUCGUGGCGAAGGCGCUUAGUGUUCCGCUGUACUUGGUCUCCCUGCCGAUGAACUGCACCAUGCAUCGCAGGGUGAUGACGUGGAAGGGGUGGGUGAUGAGGGUGGCAGCAGAGCGAGCGACCAUCUCUCGGGAAGUCUCCUUCAGCACCUGCUCCAGUGAGGACACGGGCUCCUUCUUGCUGGCUCCCGGCUCAGCCUUCUCGGCCUCCUGGUACCGCUGCAGCACUUUGCCGUGCACCACGGUGCCAAUGGCGCUGGAGCAGAGACGGGGGGCGAGGCCCUUGAAAAGCCCCGCUCUGCCAUCCACUUUCACGAUAUGCUUGGCGUAGGCGAAGAGGCCUGGAAGCUGGUAGACCUGGCGGCCGAAGAUGUUCCUGCCCAGGGUGGGCGGCAGCGGUUCGUACCCCACCUGCACCAGCACCUUCACGUACAUGAGAGGCUGCGAGAGCACGGUCAGCCCCGAGCCCAGAAGCACCUGCGAAGCCUCGUCCGCCAUGCUGCCGCCCCGGCGCCACG
rnacentral:lncRNA from 1 species